rnacentral:rRNA from 1 species
AUUGAACGCUGGCGGCAGGCCUAACACAUGCAAGUCGAGCGGGGUUUUCGGACCUAGCGGCGGACGGGUGAGUAAUGCGUAGGAAGCUACCCGAUAGAGGGGGAUACCAGUUGGAAACGACUGUUAAUACCGCAUAAUGUCUACGGACCAAAGUGUGGGACCUUCGGGCCACAUGCUAUCGGAUGCGCCUACGUGGGAUUAGCUAGUUGGUGGGGUAAUGGCUCACCAAGGCGACGAUCCCUAGCUGGUUUGAGAGGAUGAUCAGCCACACUGAAACGGAGACACGGUCCAGACUCCUACGGGAGGCAGCAGUGGGGAAUAUUGGACAAUGGGCGCAAGCCUGAUCCAGCCAUGCCGCGUGUGUGAAGAAGGCCUUCGGGUUGUAAAGCACUUUCAGUAGGGAGGAAGAGUUGAGUGUUAAUAGUACUCAGCUUUGACGUUACCUACAGAAGAAGCACCGGCUAACUCUGUGCCAGCCGCCGCUGUAAAAC